UACGUAGGGUGCAAGCGUUGUCCGGAAUUAUUGGGCGUAAAGAGCUCGUAGGCGGUUUGUCGCGUCGAAUGUGAAAACCCGGGGCUCAACCCCGGGCCUGCAUUCGAUACGGGCAGACUAGAGUUCGGUAGGGGAGUCUGGAAUUCCUGGUGUAGCGGUGGAAUGCGUAGAGAUCCGGAAGAACACCGGUGGCGAAGGCGGUCUGCUGGGCAGUAGCUGACACUGAGGCGCGACAGCGUGGGGAGCAAACAGG
rnacentral:rRNA from 1 species